CGCGCGGUCACGUGAGGCCGAGCUCACCGAUGGCGAUGGAGGAGGCGGCGCGGCUGGAGGAGCCGGGACUUGCGGUGGAGACCUCGGAAUCGGACUCGAGCGAUGCGAGCAGCACGGACAGCGGCAGGGAUGUGGCGGACGGGGCGACCACGACCUCGUCCCCGGCGACCCUGGGCACCGCAGCAGACAAACAGCGCGAUCGGGAGCGUGAGGGGGCGCGUCGGGGAGAGGGCAGCCCC